AGCGAACGCUGGCGGCAGGCCUAACACAUGCAAGUCGAACGGAUCCUUCGGGAUUAGUGGCGGACGGGUGAGUAACACGUGGGAACGUGCCCUUUGGUUCGGAACAACUCAGGGACACUUGAGCUAAUACCGGAUGUGCCCUUCGGGGGAAAGAUUUAUCGCCAUUGGAGCGGCCCGCGUCUGAUUAGCUAGUUGGUGGGGUAAAGGCCCACCAAGGCGACGAUCAGUAGCUGGUCUGAGAGGAUGAUCAGCCACAUUGGGACUGAGACACGGCCCAAACUCCUACGGGAGGCAGCAGUGGGGAAUCUUGCGCAAUGGGCGAAAGCCUGACGCAGCCAUGCCGCGUGAAUGAUGAAGGUCUUAGGAUUGUAAAAUUCUUUUACCAGGGACGAUAAUGACGGUACCUGGAGAAAAAGCCCCGGCUAACUUCGUGCCAGCCGCCGCGGUAAUAC
rnacentral:rRNA from 1 species